rnacentral:lncRNA from 1 species
CUCAAGGUGGUUGGCUAUACCAUUCACAGUAAUGAGGAAUGUAAGAAAUCUCAGGUUGGUGUGAGAUUAUUCCUGUUUUGACCUUAUUAAACCCAGGCUUGUGUGGAAUGAUUGCUGCUUGGGCCUUACUAACUUAGGUUAAUUCAUUAUUAACCUUCAUUUCUCAAGAGAUUAAUAAUGAAAAAUCUAGAGCUCAAGACAGAUGUCAAGGCACAAGAAAAGAUAGAGAAGUCAGUCAGUGUUAAGACAAUGGAAUAAUAAGGUACUUAAGAUUGUUCAGGCAGAAUGUGUAACUUAAAGGCACAGAACAUAAUCUCAAAGAACUCCCAACAUUAAGGAAUAUACAAAGGAGACUAAGGAACAGAUAAGGGGAAAAAAAUCAGGAGUCAUUCACAGAAGCCACAUGCUAAAGAUGAAGUGGGAAGGAAAAUGCCUAUCAAAUGGAGCAAAAAGAUCAAUAUAAGGGUAGAACACCAGAGAAUUUUUAUCUGGAGAAAUAAAUGGGAGACAAUUAAGUGGAAGAAAUAUGGGGAGGGACAGAUACAAGGAAGUAUGUGUGAAGUGGAAAUCAGGAGGUGAGAUGGAGGACAAGGAAGAAGCACAGUUAAAAGCAGUAAGUAAGAGAACCUCCCUAGACCCCUUGAAGCACUGCCCACAAACACAGAGCUUUCAAAUAGUGUUUUGGAGUCUACUCAUAUAUUGCCAAGACUAGCCAGAAAUAACAGGAAAUUCGCCUAUAUGAACAAGAGAAAAAACAAAUUACAAAUAGCAACAAAUAAACUUUGGUGUUAAUAGAGCAGUAAACAAAAGUAGUAAUAUAUAUUCAUAUAUAUAUAUCCUCAGAAAAAUAAGAUAUCUAUAAACUAAGUAGGAUAUUUUGGAAACAAAAUAAAAUGAAAGAAGUUCUAGAAAUUAGAAUAUUUUUAGAAAUGUGCUACAAAUUCAAUACAAGGAAGAUAAUGUUGCAAGAAAGUUAUGUAAAUGUUUUAAAUAAGGCAAUUAUUAAUUCCAGGAAAAAUAAAAUUAUGCAAAAGAAAAUCAUAUUACAUUUGCCCUAGGGUAUAAAAUAUUUAUACAGUCAUACUUAAAUAACAGCUAAUGCAUUUACUAAAUAUUAUGAUAUAACUACAUAAUAGAAGGCAAAGUAUGUGUGUUAGAGAGCUAAAUCAUGUAACAUCAUGUAACAAUAAUGUCUAAAAUUGUUAUAUCAAGCAACAGAAUAGCCAUACUAUUUAGAUACACUAAGGUAAAAGAAGAAACAACUUUUGGAGUCACAGUGAUUGCCUCUGGGAGGGAAGGAAAGUUCAGGCAGGGACUACUAUUUUUUAUCAUAAAGCCUUUAGAACUUACUAUUUUAUUUUUUAAAACUGUGUACAUGUUACUUUGAUAAAUUUUAUAGAUAUACAAAAGGAAAUAAGGCCACCACGGUCUGAUUUGUUUUUAGACAAGAUAUUUAUUUUGAAGUUCCAAAUGACAUUAGCAGAAUUGUGAUUUUUAUGUUUACUGAAUGGUGCAUGGGAUAAAAAGGGGUUCUAAAACACUUUACUAGAUCAUCCAAACCCUACAAUAGACACUUAUGCAUCAAAAUUCUUGUAAAAGGACCACUUC